CAUUUACUUUUCUUUCCCCUUUGAGUUAUAUAUAUGUUUUUUUUUUUACUUCACCUACGCCUUAUUUGAAAAUCAUCUUCAUUUGUUGUCUAUAUCUUUAUUGUGUUUGCUUACAAAUCAAGUUGAUAAAGCUUUGUUGUUUGCUUUCACUUUUAGGUUAAGGUUUCUAAAUCAUAUAGAUAGUAGAUUUGUAGUGCUUCAAUCUAU
rnacentral:lncRNA from 1 species